rnacentral:lncRNA from 1 species
GGAAGAUCUGCCCACUAUGGGCGCACCACUCAUGAGCUAUACUGAAGAGGAAAGAAAACUGAGGACCUGCAUGAAUUAACAGUUCUCUGGUUCCUGAUUGAAUACAUUUUAUAAGAAGAUGCAACAUCAUCUGUCGGCGACAUCCAUGGCCUGAAGUACUUGAACGGACAAAGAUGAUGAUGAUGAUGAGGAGGAGGAGGAGCAGAAAGAGGAAGAGGAAGGCUGACAAGUGAUGAUGGAUUUAUGAUGAAUAGUGCUCAAAAAGAAAACAAAAACAAAAACAAAUAAAACCUAAAUUUCU